UAGAGUCAGGGAUUUCUUAUAAGCCGCAAUUUUUGAAUAGGAGCAGGGAAUUUCUGCCCCUGCUCAGGUGUCUCAGUUGCUUUCUGUCAAAAGACUGUCAUGCCAAGACUUCACAAAGCUAGGAAAUGAACAGGCACACAUUCACUCCUGUGCCCUGCAUAUCUUAUGACCUCCCUUCUAGGAUGCAGUGGGGGCAGGGAGUGAAGGUUAAGAAUUUGGGGGGUGGACAGGAGAGAUGGCUCAGUGAUUAAAAGCAGGAACUGCUCUUCCAGAGGUCCUGAGUACCCAGCAACCACAUGGCGGUUCACAACAAUCUGUAAUGGGGUCUGAUGCCCUCUUCUGGUGUGUGUCUGAAGACAGUGACAGUGCACUCAUGAAUAAGGAAAGAAAAGAAAAGGAAAGGAAAGGAAAGG
rnacentral:lncRNA from 1 species